UGAGUAACACGUAUCCAACCUGCCGUCUACUCUUGGACAGCCUUCUGAAAGGAAGAUUAAUACAAGAUGGCAUCAUGAGUCCGCAUGUUCACAUGAUUAAAGGUAUUCCGGUAGACGAUGGGGAUGCGUUCCAUUAGAUAGUAGGCGGGGUAACGGCCCACCAAAGCGACGAUGGAUAGGGGUUCUGAGAGGAAGGUCCCCCACAUUGGAACUGAGACACGGUCCAA
rnacentral:rRNA from 1 species